rnacentral:misc_RNA from 1 species
GAUGAAGAACGUAGCGAAAUGCGAUAAGUAAUGUGAAUUGCAGAAUUCAGUGAAUCAUCGAAUCUUUGAACGCACAUUGCGCCCGUCAGUAUUCUGGCGGGCAUGCCUGUUCGAGCGUCAUUACGCCCCUCAAGUCCCCUGUGGACUUGGUGUUGGGGAUCGGCGAGGCUGGUUUUCCAGCUCAGCCGUCCCUUAAAUUAAUUGGCGGUCUCGCCGUGGCCCUCCUCUGCGCAGUAGUAAAACACUCGCAACAGGAGCCCGGCGCGGUCCACUGCCGUAAAACCCCCCAACUUUUUAUAGUUGACCUCGAAUCAGGUAGGACUACCCGCUGAACUUAAGCAUAUCAAUAAGCGGAGGA